AACGAACGCUGGCGGCAUGCCUAACACAUGCAAGUCGAACGAGACCUUCGGGUCUAGUUGCGCACGGGUGCGUAACGCGUGGGAACCUUCCCUUAGGUUCGGAAUACCUCCCCGACAGGGGUGCUAAUACCGGAUAAUUUCUUCUGACCAAAGAUUUAUCGCCUUUGGAUGGGCCCGCGUUGGAUUAGCUCGUUGGUAGGGUAAAAGCCUACCAAGGCGACGAUACAUAGCUGGUAUAAGAGGAUGAUCAGCCACACUGGGACUGAGACACGGCCCAGACUCAUACGGGAGGCAGCAGUGGGGAAUAUGGGACAAUGGGCGAAAGGAUGAUCAAGCAAUGACGCGGGAGUGAUGAAGGCAUUAGGGUUGUAAAGCUCUUUUAACCGGGAUGAUAAUGACAGUACCGGGAGAAUAAGCGCCGGCUAACUCCGUG
rnacentral:rRNA from 1 species